UAUUAAAAAUUUCAUCCAUUUGUAUUAUUAAAAAUUGGCAUGGUUGACGGAAUAACUAUUCUGAGAUAUGUGGCGUGUCAUGUGUACCUCAUGCGACAUAUAGGAACCAAUUUCUAACAAUAGAAAUUGAUAGAAUUUUUAAGA
rfam:Gossypium hirsutum cultivar TM-1 chromosome 11, whole genome shotgun sequence